rnacentral:misc_RNA from 1 species
CCUAACCUCCCACCCGUGAAUACCUGACCAACGUUGCUUCGGCGGUGCGCGCCCCCUUCCCGGGGGGCGUAAGCCGCCGGGGACCACACCGAACUUCUUGUUUUUAGCGUGUCGUCUGAGCUUGAUACAAACAAACCUAAUUA